AGAUUGAACGCUGGCGGCAUGCCUUACACAUGCAAGUCGAACGGCAGCACGGGAGCAAUCCUGGUGGCGAGUGGCGAACGGGUGAGUAAUACAUCGGAACGUGCCCAAUCGUGGGGGAUAACGCAGCGAAAGCUGUGCUAAUACCGCAAUAAGAUCUACGGAUGAAAGCAGGGAUCGCAAGACCUUGCGCGAAUGGAGCGGCCGAUGGCAGAUUAGGUAGUUGGUGAGGUAAAGGCUACACCAAGCCUUCGAUCUGUAGCUGGUCUGGAGAGGACGACCAGCCACACUAGGACUGAGACCACGGUCCAGACCUACCGUACGGGAGGCAGACGUAGGUAGGGGAAUUAGUUAGGAACGUAAGU
rnacentral:rRNA from 1 species